rfam:Salmo salar isolate Sally breed double haploid chromosome ssa04, whole genome shotgun sequence.
UCCCGUGUGGCUCAGUUGGUAGAGCAUGGUGUUUGCAACGCCAGGGUUGCCAGGGUUGUGGGUUUGAUUCCCACGGGGGAC